AAAUUGAAGAGUUUGAUCAUGGCUCAGAUUGAACGCUGGCGGCAGGCCUAACACAUGCAAGUCGAACGGUAACAGGAAGCAGCUUGCUGCUUCGCUGACGAGUGGCGGACGGGUGAGUAAUGUCUGGGAAACUGCCUGAUGGAGGGGGAUAACUACUGGAAACGGUAGCUAAUACCGCAUAACGUCGCAAGACCAAAGAGGGGGACCUUCGGGCCUCUUGCCAUCGGAUGUGCCCAGAUGGGAUUAGCUUGUUGGUGGGGUAACGGCUCACCAAGGCGACGAUCCCUAGCUGGUCUGAGAGGAUGACCAGCCACACUGGAACUGAGACACGGUCCAGACUCCUACGGGAGGCAGCAGUGGGGAAUAUUGCACAAUGGGCGCAAGCCUGAUGCAGCCAUGCCGCGUGUAUGAAGAAGGCCUUCGGGUUGUAAAGUACUUUCAGCGGGGAGGAAGGGAGUAAAGUUAAUACCUUUGCUCAUUGACGUUACCCGCAGAAGAAGCACCGGCUAACUCCGUGCCAGCAGCCGCGGUAAUACGGAGGGUGCAAGCGUUAAUCGGAAUUACUGGGCGUAAAGCGCACGCAGGCGGUUUGUUAAGUCAGAUGUGAAAUCCCCGGGCUCAACCUGGGAACUGCAUCUGAUACUGGCAAGCUUGAGUCUCGUAGAGGGGGGUAGAAUUCCAGGUGUAGCGGUGAAAUGCGUAGAGAUCUGGAGGAAUACCGGUGGCGAAGGCGGCCCCCUGGACGAAGACUGACGCUCAGGUGCGAAAGCGUGGGGAGCAAACAGGAUUAGAUACCCUGGUAGUCCACGCCGUAAACGAUGUCGACUUGGAGGUUGUGCCCUUGAGGCGUGGCUUCCGGAGCUAACGCGUUAAGUCGACCGCCUGGGGAGUACGGCCGCAAGGUUAAAACUCAAAUGAAUUGACGGGGGCCCGCACAAGCGGUGGAGCAUGUGGUUUAAUUCGAUGCAACGCGAAGAACCUUACCUGGUCUUGACAUCCACAGAACUUUCCAGAGAUGGAUUGGUGCCUUCGGGAACUGUGAGACAGGUGCUGCAUGGCUGUCGUCAGCUCGUGUUGUGAAAUGUUGGGUUAAGUCCCGCAACGAGCGCAACCCUUAUCCUUUGUUGCCAGCGGUCCGGCCGGGAACUCAAAGGAGACUGCCAGUGAUAAACUGGAGGAAGGUGGGGAUGACGUCAAGUCAUCAUGGCCCUUACGACCAGGGCUACACACGUGCUACAAUGGCGCAUACAAAGAGAAGCGACCUCGCGAGAGCAAGCGGACCUCAUAAAGUGCGUCGUAGUCCGGAUUGAGUCUGCAACUCGACUCCAUGAAGUCGGAAUCGCUAGUAAUCGUGGAUCAGAAUGCCACGGUGAAUACGUUCCCGGGCCUUGUACACACCGCCCGUCACACCAUGGGAGUGGGUUGCAAAAGAAGUAGGUAGCUUAACCUUCGGGAGGGCGCUUACCACUUUGUGAUUCAUGACUGGGGUGAAGUCGUAACAAGGUAACCGUAGGGGAACCUGCGGUUGGAUCACCUCCUUACCUUAAAGAAGC
rnacentral:rRNA from 1 species